rnacentral:rRNA from 1 species
AAUAUUGGACAAUGGGGGCAACCCUGAACCAGCCACGCCGCGGGUGUGAAGAAGGUCUUCGGAUUGUAAAGCACUUUAAGUUGGGGGGAAAGGUGUUAGGAUAUUAGGCUGAAGCUAUGACUUUCACAAUAGAAUAAGCCCCGGCUAACUGUUUGCCAGAAGCAGCGGUAAUAAUGAGUGUGCGAGCGGUAAUAGGAAGUGCUGGGCGUAAAGCGUGCGUAGGUGGUUCAGUAAGAUGGGUGAGAAAUCCCCGGGCUUAACCUGGGAACUGCUUUCAUAACUGCUGAGCUAGAGUACGAUAGAGGGUAGUGGAAUUUCCUGUGUAGCUGUGAAAUGCGUAGAUAUAGGAAGGAACACCAGUGGCGAAGGUGACUACCUGGAAUGAUACUGACACUGAGGUGCGAAAGCGUGGGGAGCAAACAG